CAGAUCAAAAGCGUCCUUCAGCUCCUUAUCCCCGCCGUUCUGCGUUGUUCCAUCGGCGCCGCCGUCCAUUCCGCCGUGCUGGAUGAAGUCGACAAACUCGUCAAGGUCAAUGUGGCCGGCGCCGUCCUUGUCAAACUCCUGCAUCAUGCACUGAACCUCCUCGGUUGAUAUUUUGGUGCCGAGCUCACCCAAGCUAUCUAUAACCUCAGAAGAUGAGAUCUUUCCGUCGCCGUUUUUGUCGAACUUGUUGAAUAUUCUUCGUAUUUCGUCCAUGGAGCCGACGAGAUUAGGAGGGCCUGAUCUCGCCAUUGCAGAAAGUAAGACGAAGAGGAAGAAAAUGGAAU
rnacentral:misc_RNA from 1 species